UCUGGCGGCAAUAGCGCGGUGGUCCCACCUGACCCCAUGCCGAACUCAGAAGUGAAACGCCGUAGCGCCGAUGGUAGUGUGGGGUCU
rnacentral:rRNA from 1 species